UAGUCGUAAACAAGGUUUCCGUAGGUGAACCUGCGGAAGGAUCAUUAUUGAAUUAAACCCUGGUCGGGUUGUUGCUGGCCUCUAGGGGCAUGUGCACGCCUGCCAUCGUUUUCAACCACCUGUGCACCUUUUGUAGACUUUUGGAUAUCUUUCGGGGGGUCACACUCUCGGUUUCGAGGGCUGCCGCUUGGCUUCCCUCGCAUUUCCGGUCUAUGCAUUUCAUACACUCCGUAAAGAAUGUAUUAGAAUGUCUUGUUAUUGGCCUCAGUGCCUUUAAUCAAAUACAACUUUCAGCAACGGAUCUCUUGGCUCUCGCAUCGAUGAAGAACGCAGCGAAAUGCGAUAAGUAAUGUGAAUUGCAGAAUUCAGUGAAUCAUCGAAUCUUUGAACGCACCUUGCGCUCCUUGGUAUUCCGAGGAGCAUGCCUGUUUGAGUGUCAUUAAAUUCUCAACCUAACCAGCUUUUGUGAGCUGGGAUAGGCUUGGAUUGUGGGGGUUUUCUUUGCGGGCUUCAUCUCAGAGGUCGGCUCCCCUUAAAAGCAUUAGUGGAACCUUCUGUUGACCUGUUUCCUGGUGUGAUAAUUAUCUACAUCGUGUGCAGUCAGCUAUCUAACAGGUUUCUGCUUCGCAACUUGUAUCACCCUUUUUACUUGGGGGGGAACGCUCUUGUUCUCUUUUUACCUCAAAUCAGGUAGGACUAC
rnacentral:rRNA from 1 species